GCUGUCGAGUUCUAGAUCAAGUGCGACUCAUUAUCCUCAUCGAUUUCAGGACCGUCGAGGAUUCUUUCCUUUGGUUAUUUUCGGUCGUCCAACGUCGGUGAAUGAAGCGUUCUAGAAGCUGAAAAUCGAAGGUUAUAUGUUCUAUUCAUCUGCAGUUGCUUAUGUUUGAAAAUGGUUCAGUCUUUUAGAUCUGAAGGUAGGUAAGUGGAGCGCUUUUUUGCAAUCUUUGUAAUCAUUGUCAAUAAUUUUCAAAAUUCUGCAAUUAAUGGAGGCGUUUCAGCUGCUUGGUCUGGUGUCUUCUUCAUCCUGGUUUAUGUCUUCUUCAACCCAAAGGAUCCUUAGCUACAACGGGGGCGGUUACGGCGGGUUGGCCACGGUGGUGGCGGGAGAGGAAGGUAUGGAGGCGGCUGCGGCCGAGGCCGAGGCGGAAGCCGCUGUAACCUAACAUUAAUUUAAAAUUAAAAUAUGAAACACAAAACCCGACCCGGCCCGGCCCAACCCAACCCGAUCUGAUCGUGCAGCUGUAUCAUGUUUGGGUCUUGUCUUGGGUCGGGCCAAACACAUAUGAUCAUUAUAUCGGGUCGGGUCGGGCCAGGCCGGGCAUCAUGAAAACCUGACCCGACCCGAUCCAUUGGCACCCCUAACCCAGAACCGUAGAUUUUACUAAAACUAGCAGUUACGACGACUCCCAGGCCCGAUUCACCCGCACCUCCUCCAGUUACGGCGAAGUUUGCAAUUUGCGUCCACUUGCAAACGGUUUGCAUUCGGGGAUCUGCUUCGUGUCAAGACCUGAUGUGUUUAAUGAUAAUGACCCGAUUUGUUGUGUUGGCGUUUGCUGUCUGUUGGCACCAGGUUUCAUACCCUUUCAGAAAGCCAGAGGUUUCGGAUAUACUAUUAUUAUUCCAGGCACCGCCAAUAUUGCAGAUUUCUUUUAAUGGUAUUUGAAAAAUUGCAGUUAACCAAGUUGUGAUUGCUCCGCAAAAUUUGCACAUUGCUUAUUAGUUUCUUGCUUUGUUUGUGGCGUGCAGCAAGUUGGCUUCAGUUCAGCCGAUGUAUUGAACAGUUUGUUAGUAUUUAGUUGUGCGAAGCCUUGUUGACAAGAGCAAAUGAUGGUAUAGCAAUGAACAUCAGGAUGAUACUAGGAAAUAUGGUCCGAAGAAUCUCGAUAGUAGUUCCACGAACAAUCCUUUGCGGGAUUGGAUUUUUCUGAUAGUGGAAAUGCCAUAAAACGCGAACCAAGAUCCGUAAUUUUGUGGCAAAGGCUGGGGACUACGUUGAAGUUCGCGAUGGUAAACUAUUGGUGAACAGUGCUGCUCAAGAUGAAGAUUUCCAUAUUGGAGCCACUUUCUUAUGAGAUGGAACUAUUGGCGAUGCUAAUUUGAAGUCGUGCCAACUUAAUUUGCUAAUAGCAUCACACAGCCGACAUUUUGAUCAAGCUUUCUGACCGUUUCAAUUGCAGCUUAUUCCUGAAGGAUAUGUAUUUGUAAUGGGAGACAAGAGGAACAACAGCUUUGACUCCCAUAACUGGGGUCCGCCUCCUAUCAAGAACAUUGUUGGCAGAUCAGUGUUCCGGUAUCGGCCUCCUUCCAGGGUCUCGGACACUAGAUCUGAGCCUUAAUCUGCAAAAGAAGAUGUUGGAUCCUGACAUAGCCUCAUGCUCGCUGAUAGGGCAAUCGGCUGUUGACUCCUUAUCUAAUUUACGUGGUGAUUUUUACAAUUAUUCUCCACUCUUUCUGUCUCAUUGUUGAGCAUAUGUGAAUAUGUUCGAGUCUUCCUUUAACCUUGCGCAGGCAGCUUGCUUUUGCCUGUUCUUGAUGGAUUGUCUCAUCCAUCCUGUGAAUAGUGAGAGGUAAAAAGAACCGAGAAAA